GACGAACGCUGGCGGCGUGCCUAAUACAUGCAAGUAGAACGCUGAAGGAGGAGCUUGCUCUUCUGGAUGAGUUGCGAACGGGUGAGUAACGCGUAGGUAACCUGCCUGGUAGCGGGGGAUAACUAUUGGAAACGAUAGCUAAUACCGCAUAAAAUUGAUUAUUGCAUGAUAGUCAAUUAAAAGGUGCAAUUGCAUCACUACCAGAUGGCCCUGCGUUGUAUUAGCUAGUUGGUGAGGUAACGGCUCACCAAGGCAACGAUACAUAGCCGACCUGAGAGGGUGAUCGGCCACACUGGGACUGAGACACGGCCCAGACUCCUACGGGAGGCAGCAGUAGGGAAUCUUCGGCAAUGGACGGAAGUCUGACCGAGCAACGCCGCGUGAGUGAAGAAGGUUUUCGGAUCGUAAAGCUCUGUUGUAAGAGAAGAACGAGUGUGAGAGUGGAAAGUUCACACUGUGACGGUAUCUUACCAGAAAGGGACGGCUAACUACGUG
rnacentral:rRNA from 1 species